rnacentral:ncRNA from 1 species
CACGGUCUUCAGGGCGGGGUGAAAGUCCCCACCGGCGGUAAAUCGAAAGAUGAGCCCGCGAGCGCCUCGGCCUUUGGUCGAGGGUCAGCAGAUCUGGUGAGACUCCAGAGCCGACGGUCAUAGUCCGGAUGAAAGAAGGCGUCA